AUGGCAACUUUUUUUUUCUUCUUACGGUCACAUGUCAAUUUCAAAGCACUAUUCUACCAAAACAUUGCAAAUUUUAGAAAAAAAACAUAUGUCAGUAUUCACUCUAUGAAUUUUUUGAAUUUACAUAUAAUGCAAUUUCGUAAACCACUGGAAAAAUGUACAGAUGAAGAGGCAUUCAAUCAAUUUCUUGAAUCACUUAGGGUGUGUUCGGUUCGGGAACGAAGUAGAACGGAAUGUCAUGCUUCCAUUCCACCAGAGCGGAUCGGUUUCGUCUUUAUGUUUGGUAGGAGCAAUUGCGAGGAAUGGAAUGAUUACAUUUUGGUGUUUGGUUUGAGAGAUGGAACGGAAUAG
rnacentral:rRNA from 1 species